rnacentral:rRNA from 1 species
AUACGGAGGGUGCAAGCGUUAAUCGGAAUUACUGGGCGUAAAGCGUACGUAGGCGGUUAGUUAAGUUAGAUGUGAAAGCCCCGGGCUUAACCUGGGAACUGCAUUUAAAACUGGCUAACUAGAGUUAAGUAGAGGGGAGUGGAAUUUCAGGUGUAGCGGUGAAAUGCGUAGAGAUCUGAAGGAACACCAGUGGCGAAGGCGACUCCCUGGACUUGAACUGACGCUGAGGUACAAAAGCGUGGGUAGCAAACGGGAUUAGAAACCCUAGUAGUCC